GUCAUGGCACCUCUGUCAUCCCCGCCCCUCUGCUCUGCUCCUGACUCCACCAGCUGUGACCAAUUCACCCUCAUCAACUCUGCCCUUCUUAAGGAGACCCAGCUCCACAACUCAUCGCCAGAUCGUUACCCCUUAUGGAUUCCUGCUCGCCAGUGUCACCUGUGUGGAAGUCAGUUCGAGCCCCCCUGCUGUUCUGGAAAUACCACCCUCUGCUAGCUGCGCUACUACCUCCAGCCACGCCUCAAGCUUCGCUCCUCUCUGGAUCACAUUCACGCCAGCAACAUCUUCCUGGAAGGAAAGAAUAAAAACCCUUUCUUACCUCUCA